rnacentral:tRNA from 1 species
GGGCGCAUAGCUCAGUUGGUCAGAGCCACCGGCUCAUAACCGGUCGGUCGUAGGUUCGAAUCCUACUGCGCCCACCA